rnacentral:rRNA from 1 species
UGGGGAAUUUUCCGCAAUGGGCGAAAGCCUGACGGAGCAAUACCGCGUGAGGGAGGAAGGCUCUUGGGUUGUAAACCUCUUUUCUUGGGGAAGAAAAAAAUGACGGUACCCAAGGAAUAAGCAUCGGCUAACUCCGUGCCAGCAGCCGCGGUAAUACGGAGGAUGCAAGCGUUAUCCGGAAUGAUUGGGCGUAAAGCGUCCGCAGGUGGCAAUUCAAGUCGAUUGUCAAAGGUCUCAGCUUAACUGGGAACAGGCAGUGGAAACUGAACAGCUAGAGUGCGGUAGGGGUAGAGGGAAUUCCCGGUGUAGCGGUGAAAUGCGUAGAGAUCGGGAAGAACACCAGUGGCGAAAGCGCUCUACUAGACCGCAACUGACACUCAGGGACGAAAGCUAGGGGAGCGAAUGGG